rnacentral:rRNA from 1 species
AUACGGAGGAUCCUAGUGUUAUCCGGAUUUAUUGGGCUUAAAGGGAGCGUAGGCGGUAGGUCAAGUCAGCUGUGAAAUGUAUCUGCUUAACGGGUACACUGCAGUUGAAACUGGUUUUCUUGAGUGCGUAAGAGGCAGGCGGGAUUCGUUGUGUAGCGGGGGAAUGCUUAGAUAUGACGAAGAACACCGAAGGCGUAGGCAGCUGACCAGACCGCAAAUGACGCUCAUGCACGAAAGUGCGGGGAUCGAACAGGAUUAGAUACCCUGGUAGUCCGCACAGUAAACGAUGAAUACUUGUUUUCGGCGAUAUAAUGUCGGAGGCAAAGCGAAAGCGAUAAGUAUUCCACCUGGGGAGUACGCCGGCAACGGUGAAACUCAAAUGAAUUGACGGGG